rnacentral:lncRNA from 1 species
GGCUUAAUAAAGUAACUCGUUAGACGAAUUAUAGUUGCCAAUUUAAAACAUAGUCGAAAAGGAAAACACACCCAAAUAAGUAAAGAAUGAGCAAUACAAAAUACACAUAGUGGUAAAAUAAAUGUUUCAGAAGGGUAAACACUGAUCUUGGUCUUUUGGGGACAAAUGCAAUCCUUUCGUUUUAUAUUGAAAUCGUAUAGUUGUUUCUUAUGCAUACCUGUUUUGGAGAUACAGAAAAAGUCAAAUUGUUUACUAAAUGACACGACAAAAACCCUUAGAAUUAAAACAAUCCUAAAGGAAAUCACAAAAACGAUUCAGAUGAAAAUAAAAAGAGAGGGUACAGUUGUCUCCUGAAAGAGAUAGUAUAAAAUAAAAUUGACUUAAAUUAAAUGUUGUUAUUGUUGAUAGUUCAGAAAUAGUUAUUGAAAUACAUUGUAAGUAUAUCAAACUCAAUGCUUCAUAAGGAUAUUCCCAAUAAACAUUUGGGAAAAAUUAGUUGACUUUCCUUAGUCAGUCGCUCUUCAGUAUUUUAGAAUGUCAAUUCGAUCUAUUGCAUUCGAUGUCUUAGAUUUCAUAUGCCUUGAGAUUUUAUAGAACACAAAUUGAUAUAUUUUUUUCUUUUUGGAAAACAUUCAGGUGAUAGGCCGAUCUUUUACGUAUAAAUUAAUCAAUUUACUUGAAUAAAUUCUGCACAUUUGUUCCAAAACGCGUUUAUGGCAUAUGCUGUUCUAUUUUUAGGAUACUUUAAGUACGUAUAAUAUUGAUAGUUCAGAAGUAGUUAUUGAUAUACAUUGUAAUUAUGGCAAACUCAAUGCUUAAUAAGGAAAUUCC